rnacentral:rRNA from 1 species
UGGGCGUAAGCGUCCGCAGGCGGCUAGAUAAGUCUGCUUUCAAAGAGGGGGCUCAACCCCAUAAAGGGAGUGGAAACUGUUUAGCUAGAGUAUGGUAGGGGCAGAGGGAAUUCCCAGUGUAGCGGUGAAAUGCGUAGAUAUUGGGAAGAACACCAGUGGCGAAGGCGCUCUGCUGGACCGAGACUGACGCUGAGGGACGAAAGCUAGGGGAGCGAAAGGGAUUAGAUACCCCUGUAGUCCUAGCUGUAAACGAUGGACACUAGGUGUUGCGCGUAUCGACCCGUGCAGUGCCGUAGCUAACGCGUUAAGUGUCCCGCCUGGGGAGUACGCACGCAAGUGUGAAACUCAAAGGAAUUGACGGGGGCCCGCACAAGCGGUGGAGUAUGUGGUUUAAUUCGAUGCAACGCGAAGAACCUUACCAGGGUUUGACAUCCCUCGAAUCUCUGUGAAAGCGGAGAGUGCCUUCGGGAGCGAGGAGACAGGUGGUGCAUGGCUGUCGUCAGCUCGUGUCGUGAGAUGUUGGGUUAAGUCCCGCAACGAGCGCAACCCACGUUUUCAGUUGCCAGCAUUAAGUUGGGGACUCUGGAGAGACUGCCGGUGACAAACCGGAGGAAGGUGUGGACGACGUCAAGUCAUCAUGCCCCUUACAUCCUGGGCUACACACGUACUACAAUGGUUAGGACAAAGGGCAGCGAAGCCGCGAGGUGGAGCAAAACUCAUAAACCUAGCCUCAGUUCAGAUUGCAGGCUGCAACUCGCCUGCAUGAAGGAGGAAUCGCUAGUAAUCGCAGGUCAGCAUACUGCGGUGAAUACGUUCCCGGGCCUUGUACACACCGCUAAGCCUCUAACGUGGGAGUUGGCCACGCC